UCACUUACUCAAUUGAUCAUACUUCUACAUUUCUUAAUCUAAGACAUUAUUACCAUGACAUAAUAGUAUAAAAGUACCUUUAUGCUGAUUCAACUCUAUUAGUGUGCAUUUGGGUUUCGUCAUCAGGUGUCGCCGUCGUGGUUAGGUAAGAGCUAUGAAUUGUGGGUUGAGAGUUAACAUGUGUUUAUCUUUUUGAAUACCCUGCGUACUACCCAUCCAUCUUUCUGAAUUACUGAUACAGCGUAGUCGAAUUGAAUGUAUCAUUGCAUUUUUUCCUUGAUGUUCAACAUGUGCGUAUUUUAGAGCAUUAAUCAAUUC
rnacentral:lncRNA from 1 species